AUUGAACGCUGGCGGCAUGCCUUACACAUGCAAGUCGAACGGCAGCACGGACUUCGGUCUGGUGGCGAGUGGCGAACGGGUGAGUAAUGCAUCGGAACGUGCCAUUGAGUGGGGGAUAACGUAGCGAAAGUUGCGCUAAUACCGCAUAUUCUGUGAGCAGGAAAGCAGGGGACCGCAAGGCCUUGCGCUCUUUGAGCGGCCGAUGUCAGAUUAGCUAGUGGUGAGGUAAAGGCUUACCAAGGCGACGAUCUGUAGCGGGUCUGAGAGGAUGAUCCGCCACACUGGAACUGAGACACGGUCCAGACUCCUAC
rnacentral:rRNA from 1 species